rnacentral:ncRNA from 1 species
AGCAAACGGCAACCUUAUUGAAAAAUAAGGACGCAAAGUCGCAGGCCUAAGGUGUACAUAGAGGAAAUGCAUAUUUAUAAAACUAUGGCGGCUGGACUACC